GACGAACGCUGGCGGCGUGCUUAACACAUGCAAGUCGAACGGAAAGGCCUUUUCGGCGGUACUCGAGUGGCGAACGGGUGAGUAACACGUGGGUGAUCUGCCCUGCACUCUGGGAUAAGCCUGGGAAACUGGGUCUAAUACCGGAUAGGACCGCACUUUAGUGUGUGUGGUGGCAAGUUGUUUCGGUGUAGGAUGAGCCCGCGGCCUAUCAGCUUGUUGGUGGGGUAAUGGCCUACCAAGGCGGCGACGGGUAGCCGGACUGAGAGGUUGGUCGGCCACAUUGGGACUGAGAUACGGCCCAGACUCCUACGGGAGGCAGCAGUGGGGAAUAUUGCACAAUGGGCGCAAGCCUGAUGCAGCGACGCCGCGUGGGGGAUGACGGCCUUCGGGUUGUAAACUCCUUUCGCCAGGGACGAAGCGUUUUGUGACGGUACCUGGAGAAGAAGCACCGGCUAACUACGUG
rnacentral:rRNA from 1 species